rnacentral:lncRNA from 1 species
CAGUUUUACUAAAAAAUCUUAAAAGAUAUUUUAACCUAGAUCUCCAUCAACAAAACGAAUCCCUAGAUUAUAUCGAGUUUACACGGUCAAUUUGACAAGAUGAUGACCAAUUAUUUUACGCGAGAUUUUUCUUCAACCACUAGCCUCAACGACCGUGACGAGACCUUUCUCCCUUGUAGCCAACCAAACCACCAUCAAUUGCUCCUGCGAUCUCUCCAAUACCACUAGUAAGACACCACUAGAGUCCAGCCCCUACCAGACGGAAUUAGUUUCACAGCCACCAUCAUAAACCAAACCAUAGUAACCCACUGAAUCUCCACCAAGACCAGCCACCACUCAACAGCUCCUCUCCUUCACAUCAACCCAGACAACCACUACAACAACCACCACCCCACACCACCUCGAUCUCCUCUUUUUCUCUCGUCAGAAACAGCCCUGGCCAGACCACCAUUGCCGUUCUCUCCCUCACUCUCCUAGCUUUCUCAUCUUGUCGAAACUAGCUAGGAUCAGUCUGCUGCUUACUCAUUCUAGGAUCAAUACUCUCAUUGUAGGAUCAAUCGGCUACUUACGUACUCCAAAAUCUUCUUAUUCAUCAAACAUCGUCAUCUUGUUAUCCAUAUUCUCUCCCAUCGACUACAUCACAAUAAGAUUUAACAAUCAAUUAAUUUGAUUUGGUAAAAUUAAAAUUACUGUACUUUGUACAUGAAAAUCUAUAUAUCUUGACCAGGCAAACACAAAUCACUGAUUGUAUUGAGUGAGGUGGCUGCCAUUAACAGAUCUAAUUUCGUAAAAACCAAACACAUUGGGGAGAACAAAAUGCUUACCUUUGUCGAUGGAAAAGAAAAGAGAGAUCCAAUCACAGAGAGAGCAAUGGUUUGAAUACUUGAUGGUCUGCAAAUGCACAAUCUUGAGCCAUCAAAUGAAAAAGGAAGAAGAUAAAUUCACACGGAUCUUACUAGGUUAUUUCUUUGAAUAUGAUAACGGCUGUGAAAAAACUCUCAACAAAUGAGAUGGGGUUAUCCACUUUUGUUUCACAUGUAUCUGUUUUAGGGUUUUGAAGUUUAGAGCUAAACAUAGAAAUUAAAAACAAAGAAGAAGAAAAU